GUGAGGGAUUUUCGGCAAUGGGCGAAAGCCUGACCGAGCGACGCCGCGUGAGCGAAGAAGGCCUUCGGGUCGUAAAGCUCUGUCUAGGGGGAAGAGGAAGGACGGUACCUCUGGAGGAAGCCACGGCUAACUACGUGCCAGCAGCCGCGGUAAUACGUAGGUGGCGAGCGUUGUCCGGAAUUACUGGGCGUAAAGGGCGCGCAGGCGGCGCGUUAAGUCCGGGGUGAAAUCCAUCGGCUCAACCGGUGGGGGACCUUGGAUACUGGCGCACUGGAGUGCGGGAGAGGGAAGCGGAAUUCCACGUGUAACGGUGAAAUGUAUAGAUAUGUGGAGGAACACCGGUGGCGAAGGCGGCUUCCUGGACCGUAACUGACGCUGAGGCGCGAAAGCUGGGGGAGCGAACAGGAUUAGAAACCCUUGUAGUCC
rnacentral:rRNA from 1 species